AGACCCGAAACCCGGUGAUCUAGCCAUGGGCAGGUUGAAGGUUGGGUAACACUAACUGGAGGACCGAACCGACUAAUGUUGAAAAAUUAGCGGAUGACCUGUGGCUGGGGGUGAAAGGCCAAUCAAACCGGGAGAUAGCUGGUUCUCCCCGAAAGCUAUUUAGGUAGCGCCUCGUGAAUUCAUCUCCGGGGGUAGAGCACUGUUUCGGCUAGGGGGCCAUCCCGGCUUACCAACCCGAUGCAAACUGCGAAUACCGGAGAAUGUUAUCACGGGAGACACACGGCGGGUGCUAACGUCCGUCGUGAAGAGGGAAACAACCCAGACCGCCAGCUAAGGUCCCAAAGUCAUGGUUAAGUGGGAAACGAUGUGGGAAGGCCCAGACAGCCAGGAUGUUGGCUUAGAAGCAGCCAUCAUUUAAAGAAAGCGUAAUAGCUCACUGGUCGAGUCGGCCUGCGCGGAAGAUGUAACGGGGCUAAACCAUGCACCGAAGCUGCGGCAGCGACACUCAGGUGUUGUUGGGUAGGGGAGCGUUCUGUAAGCCUGUGAAGGUGGCCUGUGAGGGUUG
rnacentral:rRNA from 1 species